rnacentral:rRNA from 1 species
AUUGAACGCUUUUGGCGGCAUGCUUUACACAUGCAAGUCGAACGGCAGCGGGGGCUUCGGCCCGCCGGCGAGUGGCGAACGGGUGAGUAAUGCAUCGGAACGUGCCCAGUCGUGGGGGAUAACACAUCGAAAGAUGUGCUAAUACCGCAUACGUCCUGAGGGAGAAAGCGGGGGAUCUUCGGACCUCGCGCGAUUGGAGCGGCCGAUGUCGGAUUAGCUAGUUGGUGGGGUAAAAGCCCACCAAGGCGACGAUCCGUAGCGGGUCUGAGAGGAUGAUCCGCCACACUGGGACUGAGACACGGCCCAGACUCCUACGGGAGGCAGCAGUGGGGAAUUUUGGACAAUGGGGGCAACCCUGAUCCAGCCAUGCCGCGUGAGUGAAGAAGGC